CUCAACAUGGCGGAAGGAGUAAGUGGUGACUUGGGGACAGAUAAGAGGAGUUGCAUUGUUAGUGUUUUAGCAAGAUGAGGAAACAGCAAAUUAGUUGGCUAAAGAGACUAUAAGACCAACCUAUUUACUCUGCAAUCAAUUCUUAGAAGUAGCCUAGUCUGUUGAUAUCAAGGACCCCCUUUAUACAAUGCCAUACAGUCUCAUUAGACAUACUCGUGACUACACUUCAAGGUUCAGAGAGAGCUACGCUAAGCUACAUGACAUUUGUCACAGUCUAUGAGCCAGCUAUCAGCCUAUCAUCACUCUCUGGUAAAGGGAGGUUAUCUGACGGUAGUGGUGUGGUAUAGGGAGGUUAUCUGACGGUAGUGGUGUGGUAUAGGGAGGUUAUCUAACGGUAGUGGUGUGGUAUAGGGAGGUUAUCUGACGGUAAUGGUGUGGUAUAGGGAGGUUAUCUGACGGUAGUGGUGUGGUAUAGGGAGGUUAUCUAACGGUAGUGGUGUGGUAUAGGGAGGUUAUCUGACGGUAAUGGUGUGGUAUAGGGAGGUUAUCUAAUGGUAGUGGUGUGGUACAGGGAGGUUAUCUAAUGGUAGUGGUGUGGUAUAGGGAGGUUAUCUGACGGUAGUGGUGUGGUAUAGGGAGGUUAUCUGACGGUAGUGGUGUGGUAUAGGGAGGUUAUAUGAUGGUAGUGGUGUGGUAUAUGGAGGUUAUCUAACAGUUGUGGUGUGGUAUAGGGAGGUUAUAUGAUGGUAGUGGUGUGGUAUAUGGAGGUUAUCUAACAGUUGUGGUGUGGUAUAGGGAGGUUAUCUAAUGGUAGUGGUGUGGUACAGGGAGGUUAUAUGAUGGUGGUGGUGUGGUAUAUGGAGGUUAUCUAACAGUUGUGGUGUGGUAUAGGGAGGUUAUCUAAUGGUAGUGGUGUGGUACAGGGAGGUUAUAUGAUGGUAGUGGUGUGGUACAGGGAGGUUAUCUAAUGGUAGUGGUGUGGUACAGGGAGGUUAUAUGAUGGUAGUGGUGUGGUACAGGGAGAUUAUCUAAUGGUAGUGGUGUGGUACAGGGAGGUUAUAUGAUGGUAGUGGUGUGGUACAGGGAGGUUAUCUAAUGGUAGUGGUGUGGUACAGGGAGGUUAUAUGAUGGUAGUGGUGUGGUACAGGGAGGUUAUAUGAUGGUAGUGGUGUGGUACAGGGAGGUUAUCUAAUGGCAGUGGUGUGGUAUAGGGAGGUUAUCUAAUGGUAGUGGUGUGGUAUAGGGAGGUUAUCUGACGGUAGUGGUGUGGUAUAGGGAGGUUAUCUAACAGUAGUGGUGUGGUACAGGGAGGUUAUCUAAUGGUAGUGGUGUGGUACAGGCAGGUUAUCUAAUUGUGUUGUGGUAUAGGUAGGUUAUCUGAUGGUGUGGUACAGGCAGGUUAUCUAAUUGUGUUGUGGUAUAGGUAGGUUAUCUGAUGGUGCUGUACAGGCAGGUUAUCUAAUUGUGUUGUGGUAUAGGUAGGUUAUCUGAUGGUAGUGGUGUGGUACAGGCAGGUUAUCUAAUUGUGUUGUGGUAUAGGUAGGAUAUCUGAUGGUGUGGUGUGGUACAGGCAGGUUAUCUAAUUGUGUUGUGGUAUAGGUAGGUUAUCUAUUUGUGUUGUGGUAUAGGUAGGUUAUCUGAUGGUAGUGGUGUGGUACAGGCAGGUUAUCUAAUUGUGUUGUGGUGUGCUAUAGGGAGAUUAUCUGAUGGACGGUAGUCCGGGGUUGCAUGUGUGUUUAACACACUCCUGGCAGAUAAAGCUUACCUGACAGGAGAAAGCUACCUGGACACACAGUCACUCUUCAGGAGAAAAGCUCUCCCCCUGUCAGCACAAACAGCCUGUCCACGUGUACUUGAUCCAACGCAGCUAACACCUUUUUCUCUUGCCACUCUCACACGCACAAGAGCAGCAUCAAAUUUAUAGGGGCUUGCUUGCUGGUUUCUGUUUCUCUCUCUCUGUCUCCCUCUCUCUCUGUCUCUCU